CGAGCGAAUCGAUGGGAGCUUGCUCCCUGAGAUUAGCGGCGGACGGGUGAGUAACACGUGGGCAACCUGCCUAUAAGACUGGGAUAACUUCGGGAAACCGGAGCUAAUACCGGAUACGUUCUUUUCUCGCAUGAGAGAAGAUGGAAAGACGGUUUACGCUGUCACUUAUAGAUGGGCCCGCGGCGCAUUAGCUAGUUGGUGAGGUAAUGGCUCACCAAGGCGACGAUGCGUAGCCGACCUGAGAGGGUGAUCGGCCACACUGGGACUGAGACACGGCCCAGACUCCUACGGGAGGCAGCAGUAGGGAAUCUUCCGCAAUGGACGAAAGUCUGACGGAGCAACGCCGCGUGAACGAAGAAGGCCUUCGGGUCGUAAAGUUCUGUUGUUAGGGAAGAACAAGUACCAGAGUAACUGCUGGUACCUUGACGGUACCUAACCAGAAAGCCACGGCUAACUACGUGCCAGCAGCCGCGGUAAUACGUAGGUGGCAAGCGUUGUCCGGAAUUAUUGGGCGUAAAGCGCGCGCAGGUGGUUCCUUAAGUCUGAUGUGAAAGCCCACGGCUCAACCGUGGAGGGUCAUUGGAAACUGGGAACUUGAGUGCAGAAGAGGAAGUGAAUUCCAAGUGUAGCGGUGAAAUGCGUAGAGAUUUGGAGGACACCAGU
rnacentral:rRNA from 1 species